rnacentral:rRNA from 1 species
AUUGAACGCUGGCGGCAUGCUUUACACAUGCAAGUCGAACGGUAACAGGCCGCAAGGUGCUGACGAGUGGCGAACGGGUGAGUAAUGCAUCGGCACGUGCCCAGUCGUGGGGGAUAACUACUCGAUAGAGUAGCUAAUACCGCAUACGAUCUAUGGAUGAAAGCGGGGGACCGUAAGGCCUCGCGCGAUUGGAGCGGCCGAUGUCAGAUUAGGUAGUUGGUGGGGUAAAGGCUCACCAAGCCAACGAUCUGUAGCUGGUCUGAGAGGACAACCAGCCACACUGGGACUGAGACACGGCCCAGACUCCUACGGGAGGCAGCAGUGGGGAAUUUUGGACAAUGGGCGCAAGCCUGAUCCAGCAAUGCCGCGUGCAGGAAGAAGGCCUUCGGGUUGUAAACUGCUUUUGUACGGAACGAAACGGCUCUGGUUAAUACCCGGAGCUAAUGACGGUACCGUAAGAAUAAGCACCGGCUAACUACGUG